rnacentral:piRNA from 2 species
UUCCAAGUAAUAGACCAACUGUUCCUGAGG